rnacentral:rRNA from 1 species
UAGGGAAUCUUCCGCAAUGGGCGAAAGCCUGACGGAGCAACGCCGCGUGAGUGAUGAAGGUCUUCGGAUCGUAAAACUCUGUUAUUAGGGAAGAACAAAUGUGUAAGUAACUAUGCACAUCUUGACGGUACCUAAUCAGAAAGCCACGGCUAACUACGUGCCAGCAGCCGCGGUAAUACGUAGGUGGCAAGCGUUAUCCGGAAUUAUUGGGCGUAAAGCGCGCGUAGGCGGAAAUGCAAGUCAGGUGUAAAAGGCAGUAGCUUAACUACUGUAAGCAUUUGAAACUGCAUAUCUUGAGAAGAGUAGAGGUAAGUGGAAUUUUUAGUGUAGCGGUGAAAUGCGUAGAUAUAUGGAGGAACACCGGUGGCGAAAGCGGCUCUCUGGUCUGUAACUGACGCUGAGGCUCGAAAGCGUGGGGAGCGAACAGG